rnacentral:rRNA from 1 species
GAUGAACGCUGGCGGCGUGCUUAACACAUGCAAGUCGAACGAUGAAGCCCAGCUUGCUGGGUGGAUUAGUGGCGAACGGGUGAGUAACACGUGAGUAACCUGCCCUUAACUCUGGGAUAAGCCUGGGAAACUGGGUCUAAUACCGGAUAGGAGCGUCCACCGCAUGGUGGGUGUUGGAAAGAUUUAUCGGUUUUGGAUGGACUCGCGGCCUAUCAGCUUGUUGGUGAGUUAAUGGCUCACCAAGGCGACGACGGGUAGCCGGCCUGAGAGGGGGACCGGCCACACUGGGACUGAGACACGGCCCAGACUCCUACGGGAGGCAGCAGUGGGGAAUAUUGCACAAUGGGCGAAAGCCUGAUGCAGCGACGCCGCGUGAGGGAUGACGGCCUUCGGGUUGUAAACCUCUUUCAGUAGGGAAGAAGCGAAAGUGACGGUACCUGCAGAAGAAGCACCGGCUAACUACGUG